GCGGCGUCCGGAUGGCCGAGCCAUGCCAGCCCACGUCGCCCCAGCCCAGGUCGUCGGCCAGCACCAGCACCAGCUUCUAGGUAUUUCUCCAGACUUUCUGAUGGAAGCAGUGGAAUGUGUCACAGAGGCAUUCCAAAGAAAAUGAUAGAAGGAGAGACUGGAACUUCAAUCAGUACACAAGAGAUGAAAAUCCAUAGUGAAAGAAAGCAGAGAAGCAGGUUACAGAAAGUCUGCACCUUCUGCCAUCAGACUGAUGUGGUUGACCUGUUAACGAAUAGCACAUUUUUUCUUCCAAACUGGAAAGAGUUACAAGCCUGAUUUUUAACUUCCAGUUAGAAAUGUGGAUGGAAUAAGUGAAGCAGCAUUCUGUAUAACAGAGCUACUUAGGAGAAUACAUGUGACAGCCUGCCUCAGAAUUACUGUUAUUGUACAAUCCCAGGCAUCAAGUCUGGUGAAUCUGCAUAUUCACUGUUUGCAUAUUAAAAUUCAAAACUAUGUUCCUAAGAAUUGUUCUCUCUUCCUUCACAUUUUAAAUAGAACACUAUGACACUGUGCUGUAUUUUAGCUUUCUUAAUUUUUCACAGAAACACUGUGGCGAAAUGCCUUUUUAAAAACAAUGUCGCCUUUACAAAAAGUAUCACCUUUGAUAGGUUCAACGAAGCAGAAUCACUUACAAAAGCAAAAUAGAAGAUUAUUUCAGAAUGGAUUUUUCACCCAAGGCAGUACCACAUGCAAACUUCCAAAUCUUUUCUCUUGAUCUUCUUUGAUAAAAAAAAAUUUGGAACAGCACAAUGUAAUGUCAGUGUGGAAUAAAUCUUUUAAUAGGUGUAAAUGUUCACUGCUCAAACUGUGUUUCUCCUUGUAUAUUCUAUUUAUACAUUUCCUUCUUUGAGAAAGAUUUAGAUAAAGUAAUUGGGGAAAAAAAAUCAUUUUGAGUAUUAUUUAUAGUCAUAUGAACUUCAAAAAUGUUUGUGUGUAGCCUAAAAAUGAGUGCUAGAGAUCAUGUAACAUUUCAAUUCAAAAUAACUGAUGAGCAUAUUAUGGAAUUCAGAAAUGUGUUUUAAUAAUUCAGUGUAUUCCCACUAUUUACAUUAUCCCAAUCCUACUUAUUUGGCUUAUCAAAUAUAAGAACCUCAUCUCCUGUGGAUUACAAUUUUUUCACUGUCAGUACUUCUGUCUAACAACAUAUGGUUCUAAUUACUCCUUAGUCUACAAUUAACAGGAAAAGGAGGAACAGAAGAUCUUCAGUGGCAUGCCUGGCUACACAUUCAGACCAGUGAGUGCUUGAGACAGUAUUUUAACUUCCUUUCAGAGACUGAGCAAUAACAUGUACAUGUUAUCUACCAGCUAAUCUGUAUGAAAUAAUGAUGAACAUUUCCUGUAACUGUUGCAUUAAGAAGAUUUUGAUCAUUUCUGCCAGAGUGAUACAUUGAGGGGGGGAGAAAAAAAAAGCAAUUCAGUUUGCCUUUAAUACUGUCUUUAUUACUUUGUAAUGAUUUAUGGGAUAGAUUUCCAUUCUUUAGAGAGCAUUUCUGUGCAGAACAGUGAUAUUAUUUUAUUGAUAAGUUUGUUAACUCAUAACCGGUUAUAAGGAUAAGCUACUUUACCCCAAGGACAGGCAAAGGAGGAACUAUGAGUUUCCAGUUGAAGUAAGAAUUUGCUAUUAGUCAAUACUAAGAGCAACUUCUUCCUCUAUCUGAAUUCAGAUCUGCCAGCCAGCAUCUGAGCAAGCUGAAUCAAACCCAGCCACUUUCUGCUCUCAGCUGUUACUGAGAAUAGUGGAAACAUACUGGUCCAUCAGCUGUGCUCGGAUCUCUGAAAUGAACAGCGCAUACAAGGAAGCAAGGGGGCAAUGCCAUCAAAUUUCUCAGUGAAGAAUGGCAAUGAGAUUCUUACGUUCAGUAAUUAAGAAACCUGAGUAGUUUAAUUCUCUUAAUUGCAUGAUAUAAAAAGGACUGCACAAUAUACUGCACCAUUUCCUGUGUUCUCAUCUGUGUUUAUAUUUUGGGACUUUGACCCUUUCUCUGAAGGCGUGUUCUUGUUGGCUCAGUCAGCACCAGUGGCUCUUGUAUAAUAGUUGCUGAAUAAUUUUUUCCUAGAAGUUCAACUUCCAACUUCUGUCCAACUUUGCUGAGCUCUAUGGGAACAUAUGCAAAAGCCAGACUCUGCUUAGCACUAUAGCUGAAACUUCCAGAUGUGGUAUUGCCAAUAACCUGGGGGAAAAAAAAAAUCCUUAAUGCAUAUAUUCAACAUCCAUGGAGUUUGUUUGUUGGUUGGAUUUUUGUUUGUUUGUUUUUUAAGAUAUACACCUCAGAUACUAAUUUUUGAUUGUAUAUUUCAUAUGCGAAGUAAAUUUCAAGUGCAUCGUGCUGUUCAUAACAUUAUCUGUGAAUGGCAUCACCUUAAGCUGGUAACUUUUUGCUCCCUGAAAAAGAGUUUAUUCCUGUUGCUUUCAGUUCAGUUUUUACCAGGAACAAACACUACACACACACGUAGAUACACAAUUUUUAUAUGUAUAUAUAUAAUUGAUACACAAUGAUUUAAUUGCUACUAAGUAUUUCAAUACAUAAUCUGAGCUGAAGUGUGAAUGCCUAAGCUUCACUGUUGUUUAUUUUUCUUUUAAGCAAGUAACAGAAAUUAUCUUAGAACAAUUAUGAACUUGCAAAAUGACUUAGUGGUUAAUUCAAUAAAUGGAUGACUAUACUUCAGUCUUUUCUAUUCCUGUUUCUGUGACAGUACUCCAUACAUAAACAAUGCUGCUUCCUACCUGAAGGUUAGAAAAUGGCGUCGUGGCUUACAAUUCUUCUGUGCCAGCAGAACAAAGAUAUUAUAUUCACACUUGAAACAUGAAGUUAGGUACUGUUUGUGAAUUAACUUUAGCUUCUUGUAACAUGAUUUAUUGUCAUUACCUUGCCAUUAUGCCACACACUUUCAUUUCCCUCAGGAUCAACAUCAUCUGUUUCCAAGGUGAGAUAUACUAGUCGUCGUUUGAGUCCCUUUUCUUUAAUUUGCUUCAGUGUUUUCUUUCCUGUAAAGUCUGCUGGCUGAGAAAAUAGAAGAUAAUAUGAUAUUCAGGUUGCUCAGGUUCUACAAGAAGCGAUAAAAACAUUUAUAUUUUUUUAUUGGUUUUCCUAGCACUUAAGUAUUCUGUAUGAAAUACAGAUUAAAUCAGUUUGUUGACAGACAUUAUACUUUGUAUCUCAAUGUUUUUAUAUUUGUACAUUUCAUCUUGGUAAUUUUAUUCAGCAUAUUAAUUUUACUAGAUCCCAGUCU